GAGGAGGAGAAGGAGAAAAAGGAGGAGGAAGAGGAGGCCUCGCCGCUUCCUCUGCGGCGGGAAACGGGCCGGCGGCGGCCGAGAUCCGCGUUAAAAACCGGCCCGCCGGGAGCAGCAGCACGGAGAAGACGGUAUCUACAGAGGUCAGUAUACUGGGCUGAGGGCAUCAUAAAGCCUCUGUGCAGCCAGCUCCACCAUUUCACGAAGGGAUUCGUCAUCUUCGCUUCCUGGCUCGCAGUCAACUGUCUGGGAACAAAAAACAAAGUAUGUUAGAACAACUAGCACUUCAUAUUCCUUUUCAGCAUGUGAAGGAUGCUCAUAAGGGGAAAGGAAAAAGUAGUCAUGCAAAUUGAAAAGAAAGUUAUCAAGAGCAGCACUGUAUGUUUUUAAAUGGUCUGCCAACACAUAGAAGAGUUCAGAGAAGACUUAUGCAAGUCCUGCUGAUGAACAAGACGCUUAAUCGAGUUUUACAUUUGAUUAAUAAAUUGUUUCAAAACUACUAUGUAAAAUGCAUAGUUCUGUAGAUUGCAUUUAAUUCAAAAUCAAAUAAAACCACACAAGGUUCA